rnacentral:tRNA from 1 species
GGGCGCUUAGCUCAGGAGUAGAGCGCAACGUUCGCAACGUUGAGGCCACGGGUGCGAUUCCCGUAGCGUCCA